rnacentral:rRNA from 1 species
UACAGAGGUCUCAAGCGUUUGUUCGGAUUCAUUGGGCGUAAAGGGUGCGUAGGUGGCGCCGUAAGUCAGGUGUGAAAUUUCGGAGCUUAACUCCGAAACUGCAUUUGAUACUGCGGUGCUUGAGGACUGGAGAGGAGACUGGAAUUUACGGUGUAGCAGUGAAAUGCGUAGAGAUCGUAAGGAAGACCAGUGGCGAAGGCGGGUCUCUGGACGAGUUC